rnacentral:rRNA from 1 species
GACGAACGCUGGCGGCGUGCUUAACACAUGCAAGUCGAACGGAAAGGCUCCAGCUUGCUGGAGUACUCGGGUGGCGAACGGGUGAGUAACACGUGGGUAAUCUGCCCUGCACUCUGGGAUAAGCCUGGGAAACUGGGUCUAAUACUGGAUAUGACCUUUCUCCUUAUGGGGUUUGGUGGAAAGUUUUUCGGUGUAGGAUGAGCCCGCGGCCUAUCAGCUUGUUGGUGGGGUGAUGGCCUACCAAGGCGACGACGGGUAGCCGGCCUGAGAGGGUGAUCGGCCACAUUGGGACUGAGAUACGGCCCAGACUCCUACGGGAGGCAGCAGUGGGGAAUAUUGCACAAUGGGCGGAAGCCUGAUGCAGCGACGCCGCGUGAGGGAUGACGGCCUUCGGGUUGUAAACCUCUUUCAGCAGGGACGAAGCGUAAGUGACGGUACCUGCAGAAGAAGCACCGGCUAACUAUGUG